AUUAAACGCUGGCGGAAUGCUUUACACAUGCAAGUCGAACGGCAGCACGGACUUCGGUCUGGUGGCGAGUGGCGAACGGGUGAGUAAUACAUCGGAACGUGCCCAGUCGUGGGGGAUAACGUAGCGAAAGCUACGCUAGUACCGCAUACGAUCUAAGGAUGAAAGCGGGGGAUCGCAAGACCUCGCGCGAUUGGAGCGGCCGAUGGCAGAUUAGGUAGUUGGUAGGGUAAAGGCCUACCAAGCCGACGAUCUGUAGCUGGUCUGAGAGGAUGAUCAGCCACACUGGGACUGAGACACGGCCCAGACUCCUACGGGAGGCAGCAGUGGGGAAUUUUGGACAAUGGGCGCAAGCCUGAUCCAGCCAUUCCGCGUGCAGGAUGAAGGCCUUCGGGUUGUAAACUGCUUUUGUACAGAACGAAAAGGCUCUGGUUAAUACCCGGGGCUCAUGACGGUACUGUAAGAAUAAGCACCGGCUAACUACGUGCCAGCAGCCGCCGUAA
rnacentral:rRNA from 1 species